rnacentral:rRNA from 1 species
GAUGAACGCUGGCGGCGUGCCUAAUACAUGCAAGUCGAGCGAACGGACGAGAAGCUUGCUUCUCUGAUGUUAGCGGCGGACGGGUGAGUAACACGUGGAUAACCUACCUAUAAGACUGGGAUAACUUCGGGAAACCGGAGCUAAUACCGGAUAAUAUUUUGAACCGCAUGGUUCAAAAGUGAAAGACGGUCUUGCUGUCACUUAUAGAUGGAUCCGCGCUGCAUUAGCUAGUUGGUAAGGUAACGGCUUACCAAGGCAACGAUGCAUGGCCGACCUGAGAGGGUGAUCGGCCACACUGGGACUGAGACACGGUCCAGACUCCUACGGGAGGCAGCAGUAGGGAAUCUUCCGCAAUGGGCGAAAGCCUGACGGAGCAACGCCGCGUGAGUGAUGAAGGUCUUCGGAUCGUAAAACUCUGUUAUUAGGGAAGAACAUAUGUGUAAGUAACUGUGCACAUCUUGACGGUACCUAAUCAGAAAGCCACGGCUAACUACGUG